rnacentral:tRNA from 1 species
CGUUUUGUGGUUUAGUUGGUUGAAGCGCCGGUCUAGCGGAUGGAGUCGUGAGCUCAAAUCCCACCAGAACGC